rnacentral:tRNA from 1 species
GGGCGGAUAGCUCAACAGGUCAGAGCGCUUCCCUUACAAGGAAGAGGUUCCAGGUUCGAGUCCUGGUCCGCCCA